GAGAUAUGUUCUGUGGAAACCAUUAGCGCUAAAACUGACAAGAGGCUAGAAAGAGGUAGCACACAGUAAGUUUCUGAUGAAAAUGAAUUUCAUGGUCUUACACAUAAAAUCCCCUAUGUACAUUACUGCAUUCAUGAUAAUUCUACUUUUUUCUGUCAUGUUGACAGGCAAAAAAAAAAA